UUUAACUUUUCCCAAACUUCCAACUUUUUUCAGGAACUAAACGCAACCUUAUAUACAGUUUUUAUGUUCAUCAAACUAGAAAUCUAGCAUAGUUAUAUGUAUUCUUAAUUAUAAUUAUAUCAAUAAAUCUGGAUAAAUCUGAACAUAGAUAUACUCAUCAAAGUCCUUGUCUUCUUUAAACUCGCAAAAAUCGAAAUUCAUCACCUAGUGGUGUCUUCUUAAUUUUUACUCGUCAAGAGAGAAGAAGAGCCAUAUCCAUCCCGAGAGAGCCCAUCUCAGCCUCAACGGCCUGCAGUACGUUGGCUCUCAAGAUCUACAGCAAAUACCCAGUUGUAAGUGUAUAAUAUUAACUCAAGGCUCAAGGUAAUAUAUAUAUAUAUAUAUAUAUAUAUAUGUGACGGCUGUUUUGUACACCUGGGUGUACAUACUCCCUCCUCCUUAUUGGAUAUCCAUUAGUUGGUAAUGAAUAGUUGGGUUUAAAAAAUAAUGUUUAAUUGUUUUCAAAUUUCUGCAUGCAUGUCGGUUGUGUUCUUUUUUUUUUUUUCAAAUUUUCAUAUGCAUGCACACCGGACGGUGAGGAAUGGCGACAUUCAAAAUUUUAUAUAUACUUUUUUCUUAGUUAGUACAAGUAUAUACUCUUUUAACUAGUAUAUACUAUAUUUUUUCAGUAUUACAUAUUUUGUUCUGUUUAUAGUAGAAUAUACUAUUUGUUUUCAGUAUAUACUGUUCUAUUCCAGUAUGUAUUGCUUUUUUUAAUCCAUUAUAUGUAUACUACUUUCAUAGUUAGAAGUAGUAUAAACCCAUAUUUAAUUUGUUUUAAGCAGUAUAUACUUUUUAAUGUAGUAGCAGUAUAUUAUAUAUACUAAUACAUGCCCAUCAGGAUCACAUACUGAUACUGGUUCACUGGCAAAUGCUCAUAGCGAUGUUAUGCAUAGUGGUUCAUUAGUCUGGUUUCAUUUGUCACAUACCAUUUCAUUCUUCCGGCUUCUUGGUUUGCGUCAUCCGGAAACAUGUUCAUCACCAGCAUGUACGGCUGCCGUUGUGAAUUAAUGGAGCAAUCAAAUAUGUUAUCUUUGUGCUGAUAGUUUUUAAAGACGGUAUAUAAUAUUUUUUAUGUUAGUAGCAGUAUAUACUGUUUUUAAACUAAAAAACAGUAUGUACUGGCCACGUCAGUAAAUACCAUUUUUUUUAAGUUUGUACCAGUGUAUAUUGUUUUUAGUUUAGUAGCUGUGCAUACUGUUUUUAGUUUAAAAUCAGUAUAUACUAUCUAGUAACAGUGUAUUAAUACCUAAAAAUAUGUACUUACACUAGUUAGCUCAUUGAUUGGUACCUUCACUGUAGAAGCAUAAGACUGUCAGCAAAAUAGUGGAGUAUAUUGCAAUUUUCAGUGUGGCGCAAUGGGGUUGAUCUGCCGGAGCUCUCGCCGGUCCAGAAAACAAAUUGCACUGACGCAGCGGCCGCGCACCACUCGGCUGGGAACGCUGAGGGUGAGGGCUGGGAGGAUGAGUUGACGCCGCCCGUUUGCGCCUUCUGGGAACGCCGGCCGACGAUGGAGAUCGAGUGGCGCCACCACUGCUGUGCGAGGGGUUUUGCCGAUCAGCCGGCCAGCACGUGCAUGCAUGGUUCUCGAAUCUACGACACUGCAUGCAACAAAGAAAUUAUAUGCCUAAUCAUACAAAGGGCCUCGGAUCAAACAAACGAGAAGUAAUGGAUCUAAUUAAGCAGAAAAAUUAAUCGAAGUGAUUCAGGGAAUCUUUUCGGUCUACAACAAAGGACUUGUAUUACCAGCACCAUCGAAGAUUUGAUCUGGAUGGGAGGGACUCAGAUCAACUCAGAAGAAGACUAUACUACUUGUCUACCUCCUCGAUGGAUCCGCCGAGGAUUAGAAACUGCACUCCAUUCGCCGUCGACGGGGAGAAGUGGAGCACGUACGACCUCACCAGGGAAUCUCGUCGGAGAUGCCACCACAACCGCCGACGACGAUUGGUACAGGAGGGACGAGAGCUAGCCGCCGCUCGUGGCGACGUUGAAUGGCUGGGAGUAGUACGCUAGGAUUAG
rnacentral:lncRNA from 1 species